AAUGCACCAAUUUGUAAGUCGCUCUGGAUAAGAGCGUCUGCUAAAUGAGUCCAC
rfam:Salmo salar isolate Sally breed double haploid chromosome ssa28, whole genome shotgun sequence.